UAUUUACUUCUAGUAACCAGUAGACACUUUCAAGUACGGGAACGAUACUAGAGCUCGAGAUAUGUAAUGAUUAUAUACACACACACGAAGAAGAGAGAGAUGAUGUGUUUUCAACUAUGAAUUUAUCUUUGAUUUAUUUAUUUAUUUUUUUUUAAUCGUAUUAAUUUCUUUGAGAUAAUUUCUCAGAAUAACAUGAGACACAAAAUGAUAAAUAGAAAUAAUUCUUAUUUAAAACAAUUGAAAUAUAUAACGAGAGCGAUAUCACAAAUACUCGCAAUAAAAGUUUCGCUCGUCGAUUUCAAAGUCACCGAAGAGUCUUGUCAUUAACAAAUUGAUUUUGGCGCGUAGUAUCGUCGAUAAUCGUGACCCGUGGGGGGUUCCCCUUGGGGAUUCAGAUUCUCUCCUCUCAGACACAUUUGAUGAGUCUUAUUUGCGCCACUCGUCUCUCUCUCUCCCUCGCAUUCCCGCGCGCACUUACGUGACUACGAUCACGAUAGUGCGACCGUAUAGAGCGCCGCCAAAAAUUCAAUCCGGCACGUCACGCCGCCGUGUGUAUCAACAUUGAAAAAUCAAUGGCAACUCCGUGACGUAGGUGUCCCGCCUCAACGUCGGCCAAUGACGAUGCACGCCCGUCCCCACCGCGGUUUCACGAGCCUCUCUGUCGUUUAUUCCACACGUAGACCGGCGUGCUCAUUCCGUAGCGGACUGCCGCAGCGAACGGACGUGAAAUUGAAGAGCGAAUCUGUCAAAAAAAAAAGCCGACACUGAACGAAACAUAUAUACGCAAUAUAUAUUGAGCAGGACACGUAAACACUCACAAGAGGCGGGCGCAUCGCAGCACACUUUUGUGAAGGGAGCGUACGUGUGUAUAUGCGGUUUUGCAGUUGAUCCUAGCCAAGUUUCGAUUAGCCUGACACGCAGCAACAACACCGAUUGUCGUUGUGGAAAAUAAGCGAACGGAUCGCGGGGGACAACGUCAUCACAAUCAGCACGUGCGAAUCGACAGCUAAACCGUUUGAUUUUUAAUAAGAUUCGCGCGGGUCGGUGAAUUGAAUUCAGAGCGGUCGAGAUAAUUGCGAGAUCGUUUAGCGCGAGAAUCGAUAUUCCCCGAGACACAGUGAGAAUCGCCUUCAUUUUUCAGCGAGUGUCUCGUGCGCAUUGAACUUUCUAGAAUCGCUGUGGAGUGACGAAGACGAGAGAAGAGCAGCAGCGCGAAGGAGGAAGAAAGACGACGUAAUCGAAGCGUGUUGGCAGACAGGACAGUGAUCCUACGAAAGGAGAGAGAGAAAAAAAUAUAGAGUGUGCACCAAAGAACCCAGGUAGACGAGAUGGCGUUUAUGAUGCCCGUGGUGAAAAACGAAUGGGACAUUUACAAGACUAAUCGCAGUCGGCGAUCGUCCGAAUGCUCCAAUCCGCAGGCCUGUCGCAGCAGAAAGAUCUGGCGAACUAGCAGACACAACCGUCUCGCAAAGUGCGGCACACCUGAUCGUCCUCCCGUCUCAAUUCUCAUGGUGUCCGAGUGCUCCAAAUCAGAGGGACCGUCGUUGUCAACCUCACCCGGUUCCGACUUUCUGACCUCGCCGGCGCACCGGUCCGUUCCGUUGACCUCACGACAUUUCUCGAGAACGUCCUCGAGAGCGUCGCAGAGCUCGCUGCAGAGCCCGAGCAAGAGCACGGGCACGUCGCCGCCGAAAACCGGCAGCUCAAACUCCCUCAACAAGUUCCAUAACAGGCUGGUCGAUAAGCUGAAGCGCUCGCUUAAGAAAGCGGAGGACUCCGCUGACGAUCAGCGGAAUCUAUCGUGAAACAGCCAAACGGUUUUGGGCCGGCCGCCCGUGUCCGGCUCGAAACCAAUCGAGAUCCGACGCACAUCAGCACCCGUUGCCACAUCAAAGUCGAGUAGCAAUGUGGUAGCGCGCUCGUGUCCGGAUCCGCCUUCAGCUUGGUAGACAAGACUGGAAACGAUCGAAACGAAAGAAUGGAAGUGGAAUGUGUGCGUAGAAAACUGUGUAAGAUCUGGAAGAAAGGAAGAACGUGCGGAAGGAAUAAGAAAAGAGAAGAAGGAAAGAUCGAGAGAACCGACGCUUGUCGUUCAGCUCGGGAAGGAUGUUCGAAAGCGAGUGCGUUCCAGUUUGAUAGCCCAGCGGGGAAGAAAAACAAAAGAUACAAUGAUCCUCGAACCGUCAGCUUUGCCUGUUAGAUCGUGUCAAGGAUCUGUAUACGGGGAUCGAGAAACGAUAGGAGCUUCGACGGGUUCGAGAGAACGAAGAGAGUCUGUUGGAAUGAUCUUUUGAAUAAAUUGCAACAGGUUUUGGAACUACAUCCUGGUUCUACGGACUAACUCCGAUACGUAAAAGUUACCGAUUGCGUCGAGAGUCUACGAGUUGUUGAUGGAGAGACGAAGAAAUCAAAAUUUUAUUCGGACCAAUCAGACUGAAUACAGAAAAAUUCAAGAUGCACAAUUCAAGAACCCAAUAUAUAUGUGUGUGAGGAUCGUCACAAUAAUUUCAACAACUAAAGUUCAAAAUGAUUAACACCCGUUCAAGAAGAAACAAAACAAUCGCGAAAAGAUAACGGUGAGGCAUCACGUGAAGAUAUCUGGUAUCUUCCCUUUUCCACGGUAGAAUCGUCGUGAGAGAUCGAAAGCCGAGAACAAACCGCAGCGGAUGGAUCAUCACCACCUGGACCGCGUAUCUUAUCAGUAGGUUGCAUCUACUACGUCCAUCUACUACAUUUUUUCUCUGAUUCGCCAUCAUCGUCGUCUUUCUCUUCGCCUAGGGGAUUGUACUUAAAAAAAAUUAAAAAAAAAAAAAAAAUAAAUAAACAAAAUGACCAGUUUCGCGACUUUCUUCGUCAUCGGAUUAAACUUCGCGCUUUGGCGCAAGUUCGCGGAUAAACCUGAGAAUCUGUUUAGGCUGGCGAGAAAAAAAGGAGACAGAAGAAGAAGAAGAAGAAGAAGAAGAAGAAGAAGAGGAGGACAGCAAUCGCACGAUCCUCGACGUAACCGGUUGAUCGACGAACGAUGAAGUGUUUGGACGGGGAGCGUCUCACGGAGGGUUCUGGAAAGUCAAAGGACAAAGAGACAACAUUGGACGCUAAAUGAAGCAACAGAGGAAGCGAGCUCAACCUGCAUUUCUUCGGGUGCAGAUCGCAGAGGAACAAGGACGGAGAAAGAGGGAGAGAAAAGCAAGAAGAGAAAAAGAGAAAUUUGCGAGCGCCGAUUAGGGUGUGUGCUGCAAGUAAAAAGGCGGAUGCGGAAGGCGCGUACCGAAUAAUUUCCAAAAGUUGCCGCUUGUAAAGACUGCUUUAGAAAAACAAAACAAAGAAAAAAAAAAACAGAAACAAAAAGUACACGAAAUAAUAAUAUCGAUAUAGGGCGAUUUGGUGCUGGGCGAAGCAUUGGGGCACACGAAUAAGAUCAAUGUGAGAUAUAGCCGUUGCACAAUAUGCAAAAUAUAUAUAUGUAUGAACACGAUUACAUAUCAUUAUUGCGUUCUUCUGAAAAGAAAAAAAAUCGGAAAAAAAUUGCAUAUCAUUAUUACGUUCUUCUUGCAAAGCGGAAAUGUUUUGUACUUGCAAAUUUGUAAAUUGUCUAUUUACCGUUUAUGUAAAUACGCAUUAAUUUAUCGUUUGCGUUUUUGUUUUCGCCGUAUGUAUGUCUUGAUAUUAUUUUUUUUUUUUUUUUGUGAUACAAAGAUGUGAGAGAACUGAUCGUCACAAAAAACCAAACGUGUCCCAAGUGCUUCGCCGAUUGAUUCGUACUGAUUAGAAAAAUGGUGUUAUUAGAAUUUAGAGAUUGAGAUAAAAUAUGAUCUAUUUAUUACGGCGGCCUCGGACCGCGGAGUAAACGUGGAUUGAGACUAUCUUCGCUUCUCUCUUUUUUUUUUUUUUUUUUUUUUUUUGAUAAGAUACGAAUAAGAUAUCGUCGAGUUUUCAUGUUAAAUGUCUCUGUAAAAUCCUCUUUCUUAUAUCCUUGAUCUAAGAACAAACGUGUCAAAAAGAAAAAAAAUAAUUUUAUUUAAAAAUCGCGCAAUCUCUCUCGAUCCACUUUCAUUCUACGGUCGCAACGCGAUUGCAAAGCUAAUUAUAUAUACAUGCAGAUAUAAAUAUAUAUGUAUACAUAUAUAAUAGAUAAUAUAUGUGCGCAUACAUACGCGUAAAUAUGUAUGUACAUGCAUAUAUUAUUUAUUACGUGACGACUUGACUAUUUUUUGUAUUACUACUGUACUAUUACUGUUUUACGGUUAUAUAUUUGUUAUACCUCACUCCGGGACAUUUUGAGCGGAUUUUUACCGCGUGUUUGGGGAGAAGCGCCAAGACUUUUGCGAGUUCGUAAAAAAACAAAAAAAAACAAAAUGAGUUUUGUCAUGCCGUUCUUUCUUCUUUGCGACAACAAUUAUUUGUAAACGCGUGCCAAUUCUUUCGAUUUUUUGAAUUUUUUGAAUUUUUGACAUAACCAUACAAUUUUUUUUCCGAUGAUUUGAAAAAAAAAAAAAAAGACAAAGAGUUUGUAUUUUGUUUUUCCUUUGGAUAAGAGUGAACAUUGUUCUUUCGAAUUUCGAAAAACAAAAUUCUUGCAAAAGCAGUACUUGCUGGUAUGUCGGCGAAGUCCAACGUCGUCGCUAAUUGUUCAAGUACUUUCUCCUCAGUCACGACGAUUUAAUAUCACUGCCAAAAGCCCAUGAUUACAAUAAAGAAACAACAAAAUACAA